rnacentral:tRNA from 1 species
UUCCUGGUGGUCCACUGGUUAAGACUCUGUGCUCCCAAUGCAGGGGGCCUGGGUUCAAUCUCCCACCAGGGAA